rnacentral:rRNA from 1 species
GACGAACGCUGGCGGCGUGGAUUAGGCAUGCAAGUCGAACGAUCUCUCUAGCAAUAGGGGGAUAGUGGCAAACGGGUGAGUAACGCGUGGGUAAUUUUCCUUUGGGUUCGGAAUAACCUGCCGAAAGGCGGGCUAAUACCGGAUGAGACCACAUUUUCACAGAGAAUGCGGUUAAAGGCGGGGAUCUUGAAAACAGAUCUGUCGCCCUUAGAUAAGCCCGCGUCCUAUCAGCUUGUUGGUGAGGUAACGGCCCACCAAGGCGAUGACGGGUAGCUGGUCUGAGAGGAUGGUCAGCCACACUGGGACUGAGACACUGCCCAGACUCCUACGGGAGGCUGCAGUCGAGAAUCUUUUGCAAUGCCCGCAAGGGUGACAAUGCGACGCCGCGUGAGCGAUGAAGGCCUUCGGUGUAAAGCUCUGUCAGCUCGGAUGAAAGCAAUCGGCGUAAUAUCCGCUUGUCUGACGUACGAGCAGAGAAGCACGAC